GGCUUGGUGGUGGAUGGUCCACACCUGUGUCGUGUUCACGAGUUCUGGGUAUUGAAGCAGGAGAUGCCUGUUUGAAUCAGGUCUGAGCCA